rnacentral:rRNA from 1 species
GGACGGGUGAGUAAUGCCUGGGAAAUUGCCCUGAUGUGGGGGAUAACCAUUGGAAACGAUGGCUAAUACCGCAUAAUGCCUUCGGNCCAAAGAGGGGGACCUUCGGGCCUCUCGCGUCAGGAUAUGCCCAGGUGGGAUUAGCUAGUUGGUGAGGUAAUGGCUCACCAAGGCGACGAUCCCUAGCUGGUCUGAGAGGAUGAUCAGCCACACUGGAACUGAGACACGGUCCAGACUCCUACGGGAGGCAGCAGUGGGGAAUAUUGCACAAUGGGCGCAAGCCUGAUGCAGCCAUGCCGCGUGUGUGAAGAAGGCCUUCGGGUUGUAAAGCACUUUCAGCAGUGAGGAAGGCGGGUACGUUAAUAGCNNNNNCGUUUGACGUUAGCUGCAGAAGAAGCACCGGCUAACUCCGUGCCAGCAGCCGCGGUAAUACGGAGGGUGCGAGCGUUAAUCGGAAUUACUGGGCGUAAAGCGCAUGCAGGUGGUUCGUUAAGUCAGAUGUGAAAGCCCGGGGCUCAACCUCGGAACUGCAUUUGAAACUGGCGGACUANAGUACUGUANAGGGGGGUAGAAUUUC